rnacentral:rRNA from 1 species
AUGGAACAUGACCUGGACAAGGCUCGAAACAUGAAACUAUUGCUUUCAGAGACAGUUAUGAAUUUGAUUGAGUUUCCCUUACUUGACCAAACAAGUUCCAAUUCUGUUAUUUCAACUACACCAAAUGAUCUUUCGAAUUGGUCAAGACUCCAGUUUAUGGCCCCUUCUAUACGGUACCAGUUGUUGUUUCAUUGA